rnacentral:rRNA from 1 species
CCUACGGGAGGCAGCAGUGGGGAAUAUUGCACAAUGGGCGCAAGCCUGAUGCAGCAACGCCGCGUGAAGGAAGACGGUUUUCGGAUUGUAAACUUCUGUUCUUAGUGAAGAAUAAUGACGGUAGCUAAGGAGCAAGCCACGGCUAACUACGUGCCAGCAGCCGCGGUAAUACGUAGGUGGCAAGCGUUGUCCGGAAUUACUGGGUGUAAAGGGAGCGCAGGCGGGUGAUCAAGUCAGCUGUGAAAACUACGGGCUUAACCCGUAGACUGCAGUUGAAACUGUUCAUCUUGAGUGAAGUAGAGGUUGGCGGAAUUCCGAGUGUAGCGGUGAAAUGCGUAGAUAUUCGGAGGAACACCGGUGGCGAAGGCGGCCAACUGGGCUUUAACUGACGCUGAGGCUCGAAAGUGUGGGGAGCAAACAGGAUUAGAUACCCUGGUAGUCCACACUGUAAACGAUGAUUGCUAGGUGUGGGGGGUCUGACCCCUUCCGUGCCGGAGCUAACGCAAUAAGCAAUCCACCUGGGGAGUACGACCGCAAGGUUGAAACUCAAAGGAAUUGACGGGGACCCGCACAAGCAGUGGAUUAUGUGGUUUAAUUCGAAGCAACGCGAAGAACCUUACCAGGGCUUGACAUCCAACUAACGAAGUAGAGAUACAUUAGGUGCCCUUCGGGGAAAGUUGAGACAGGUGGUGCAUGGUUGUCGUCAGCUCGUGUCGUGAGAUGUUGGGUUAAGUCCCGCAACGAGCGCAACCCUCGCCAUUAGUUGCUACGCAAGAGCACUCUAAUGGGACCGCUACCGACAAGGUGGAGGAAGGUGGGGACGACGUCAAAUCAUCAUGCCCCUUAUGUGCUGGGCUACACACGUAAUACAAUGGCCAUCAACAGAGAGAAGCAAUACCGCGAGGUGGAGCAAAACUUCAAAAAUGGUCUCAGUUCGGACUGCAGGCUGCAACCCGCCUGCACGAAGUUGGAAUUGCUAGUAAUCGUGGAUCAGCAUGCCACGGUGAAUACGUUCCCGGGUCUUGUACACACCGCCCGUCACACCAUGGGAGCCGGUAACACCCGAAGUCAGUAGUCUAACCGCAAGGAGGACGCUGCCGAAGGUGGGAUUGGCGACUGGGGUGAAGUCGUAACAAGGUAGCCGUAUCGGAAGGUGCGGCUG